GUGCUCGCUUCGGCAGCACGUAUCACUAAAAUUGGAACGAUACAGAGAUUGGCACGGCCCCUGCGCAAGGAUGACAUGUCAGUUUGUGAAGCUUCCAGAUUUCUG
ensembl:snRNA U6 U6 spliceosomal RNA